rnacentral:rRNA from 1 species
GAUGAACGCUGGCGGCGUGCCUAAUACAUGCAAGUCGAGCGAACAGACGAGGAGCUUGCUCCUCUGACGUUAGCGGCGGACGGGUGAGUAACACGUGGAUAACCUACCUAUAAGACUGGGAUAACUUCGGGAAACCGGAGCUAAUACCGGAUAAUAUAUUGAACCGCAUGGUUCAAUAGUGAAAGACGGUUUUGCUGUCACUUAUAGAUGGAUCCGCGCCGCAUUAGCUAGUUGGUAAGGUAACGGCUUACCAAGGCAACGAUGCGUAGCCGACCUGAGAGGGUGAUCGGCCACACUGGAACUGAGACACGGUCCAGACUCCUACGGGAGGCAGCAGUAGGGAAUUUUCCGCAAUGGGCGAAAGCCUGACGGAGCAACGCCGCGUGAGUGAUGAAGGUCUUCGGAUCGGAAAACUCUGUUAUUAGGGAAGAAAAAAUGUGUAAGUAACUAUGCACGUCUUGACGGUACCUAAUCAGAAAGCCACGGCUAACUACGUG